rnacentral:lncRNA from 1 species
AAUUAAUUUUAUCUACUGAUCAGAACUAUUGCAACUUCAUUAUACUUCAAUCUGCGCCUUAUCUUUGACCCAAAAUGAAUGAUUGAUGAAUAUCGCUUUAACGCAAAUACUGAUUACUGACCUCCAAUGAUUUUUAAUAACCUAAUUGAUGCUACAAACCGGAUUUAACUACUGAAGCAUGUCGAACCAAUAUUCUACUAGACCUGCUGUUUAAUAGAAGAAAGAAGCAGUUUCACUUUGACCCUGAAAGGAACCCAACGAUGAUGAUGAUCUUUUGAAUAACCUGCGGGUUGAAACCCAAUUAUAGCCUUAACAUAAGGAACAUCAAAUGACUCGUGUCUACUACAUUAACAAAUCCGUGUUUUUUUUUAGUAUACACAUUAACACAUCUGAAUAAUGCGGUAGUACAGUGGUAAGUUAUAUAAAAUAUAAAUAGAGAAAUAUAUGCUAAUAAAUAUUGAGAAAAUAUAUUAUACACCAAUUAUAUAAAAUAAUUUUAUACACUCUUUUAAAUAUAAUUUAUAAUAUAUGAUAACUUUAUUGAUUCUUAUAAUAAUUACAUUUUGAAAAUUGUAUUAAGAGUGAUUUCUAUUAUACAAUCAUAAACAUCUCCUCUCUACAAAUAAACAAUUAAUUAACGGAUAACAUAAUCGGGAAAAAGUUACAACCAAGCUCGUUGAUCAACUACAUGAAAUUAUUUCAACUUAACCGCUUCUUCAAAAUGAUAUUAUGCAACUCAAAUAUAUGAUUAUCUCUAAUAAAAAGUUACUAAAAUUAGAUCGGAAUCAAUACCUACGCUGGUAUUCGGAUCAGCAAUGCAAGC